AAUUCUAUUCUACUAUUCUAAUAAUACCGCUACAUUGACAACAACACUUAAGUAAACUGCAUCUUUUAUUGUUGACAUGUUUCUCCGAUUAUACCGGCGUCAUCAGGACAAUACAGUUCAGCUUGUUUAUCUGACAACCCUGCAUACUAUCUGGUAUCCACUUAAGGGAACUCUACCAGCACAAAACAUAGGAGGCGUUGGUUCAGCAGCUCUUUAUUUAUUCUAAAAAUAGUGCAGUGCAAGUGCAUGGUGGACACUUCUGUAAUAAUAAUUCAAUUUUUCUAAUAGAUUGGAUUUGAGUAGGCAUUCAUAUUUUCCCGCAAAACGUUCUUCAGAUAUUCUUCCGCAUGCGUUAAUACAAUUUUUCUGUACGUGUGCAUAGAUAUUAAUGAUUUUUUUACUUAUAUAUAUAUUUCUAACGACAAAACAUUUUCAUAUUAUUAAUUUAUGUUCUAAAAAAAAUAUUUUUAUGAGUAUUCAUUGAAGAAAUGAAUUUAUAACAAGUGAUAAGGAAUGUUAUUUUGCACUCGAUAAUGUCCGCAUAUUUAUACGAUCGGUUACCAGUCAAAAACGAAAGUCAAAUCUCUGUGGCAACAAUACAUCAGAAUGCCCUCACAGUCAUCGCGAUGUAAAAAUAUAUAGCAGUAGUCCACAUACGACUUUAAAAUCUAGUUAAGUUUACAGUGUAAUGUUUGAUUGUUAACAUAGAUCUAGUAUAUAUGAAGUGAAAUAUUCAGUUGAAUAAAUGUAAAAUUAAAGUAAUUAAAUGAAAUAAUUUGUGUUUCAAUUUAACAAUUUUCUUUUGUUUUUUCAUAUUAUCUGCUGUUCAACAUUUCAACCAAUCAGGGUACAUGUCAGUUUUGUGGAAAAGUAGACUAUCAGCCUGGAUGCAUGUCUGGAUAUCAUGAAUGUGAAUGAAUUUGGUGAACCUUUGAGAGAAUUGCCUUUUGUUGAGCAAACUAUUGAUAUCAGCAUUACUAUUAUUUUACUCUAGAAACUUACUAUAUUUACUUACUUUAGAUAUAUAAAUAACUAUACCUCUUA